rnacentral:rRNA from 1 species
UACAGAGGGUGCUAGCGUUGUUCGGAAUCAUUGGGCGUAAAGGGCGUGUAGGCGGUUUGUUAAGUCAUGUGUGAAAUCCCUCGGCUCAACCGGGGAACGACGCAUGAAACUGGCAAGCUAGAGUACCAAAGAGGGGGGUGGAAUUCCAGGUGUAGCGGUGAAAUGCGUAGAUAUCGAGAGGAACACCUGCGGCGAAGGCGGGUUGCUGGGCUGACACUGACGCUGACAGCGCGAAAGCUAGGGGAGCGAACGGG